GAUGAACGCUGGCGGCGUGCCUAAUACAUGCAAGUCGAGCGAACAGAUAAGGAGCUUGCUCCUUUGACGUUAGCGGCGGACGGGUGAGUAACACGUGGAUAACCUACCUAUAAGACUGGGAUCACUUCGGGAAACCGGAGCUAAUACCGGAUAACAUCUUGAACCGCAUGGUUCAUUAGUGAAAGGCGGCUUUGCUGUCACUUAUAGAUGCAUCCGCGCCGUAUUAGCUAGUUGGUAAGGUAACGGCUUACCAAGGCAACGAUACGUAGCCGACCUGAGAGGGUGAUCGGCGACACUGGAACUGAGACACGGUCCAGACUCCUACGGGAGGCAGCAGUAGGGAAUCUUACGCAAUGGGCGAAAGCCUGACGGAGCAACGCCGCGUGAGUGAUGACGGUCUUCGGAUCGUAAAACUCUGUUAUCAGGGAAGAACAAAUGUGUAAGUAAAUGUGCACAUCUUGACGGUACCUGAUCAGAAAGCAACGGCUAACUACGUG
rnacentral:rRNA from 1 species